GAUGAACGCUGGCGGCGUGCCUAAUACAUGCAAGUCGAGCGAACGGACGAGAAGCUUGCUUCUCUGAUGUUAGCGGCGGACGGGUGAGUAACACGUGGAUAACCUACCUAUAAGACUGGGAUAACUUCGGGAAACCGGAGCUAAUACCGGAUAAUAUUUUGAACCGCAUGGUUCAAAAGUAAAAGACGGUCUUGCUGUCACUUAUAGAUGGAUCCGCGCUGCAUUAGCUAGUUGGUAAGGUAACGGCUUACCAAGGCAACGAUGCAUAGCCGACCUGAGAGGGUGAUCGGCCACACUGGAACUGAGACACGGUCCAGACUCCUACGGGAGGUAGCAGUAGGGAAUCUUCCGCAAUGGGCGAAAGCCUGACGGAGCAACGCCGCGUGAGUGAUGAAGGUCUUCGGAUCGUAAAACUCUGUUAUUAGGGAAGAACAUAUGUGUAAGUAACUGUGCACAUCUUGACGGUACCUAAUCAGAAAGCCACGGCUAACUACGUG
rnacentral:rRNA from 1 species